GACAGCCUGGGAGCAGGUAGCAGCGGCCGCGCGGCGGAAAGAAGGAGCAGCUGAGCAUCCAUCCGGUGGGGUCCGAUGCCCUCGAAGGCGGUAGAUUUCUGCUGUGCCCCCUUGUAUACAGCUACACACCCCUUGGCGCCGUCUCCCCUCCCGCAUAGGUGACCCCUCUCCGUUCAACCGCUUGGUGGCCGCGCGUCUCCGCUCGGGGCGUUGCCAGCGCCGCCGCCCAGCAGAGGGCAGUGUUGAGACACCAACGGAGCCGGCGCCCCGGGGCCGCGCCGGGAAGCCGAGCCUCAGGACCCACGCUCGCUGCAGGCGCCAACCCGUCAAGCGAUUCCCCGGGGAGCCCUUCCAGCCGUGUAACGGUGGCCCGAAAAGGAGCAGGUGACAGGAAUGAAAUAGUCAACAAAUCUGUUCCGCAGAAUGAAAAUGAGUUGUCGUUUAGCAUUUUAUCAUCUGGUGACACACUCUUCCCGCUUAAGGAUGGUGCAGGAGCCGGUGAACGUCUGCCGCGUGCCCCCAGCCCCUCUCCCCAGCGCCAAGCACCCUCUCUGGGGGCGCCGCCAGCAGCGGACAAGGGGCAGCGGACCCGGGCCCCGGGGGGGCGGGAAGGCAGGCGGCUGCAUUAAGGAUGCCGAGGACGCAGGCACAUUUCCAGAGGCUGUGAUGUAGAAGGCAGCAAAGCAUCACAGCCUGAUGAAGGAAGAGGAGACGGCAGAAAGUGAGGGGAGACAGGCAGCCUUGCUCUUCCCAUUGGCGACAGGUGUCUCCUCCCAUACUGAUUCCGUUGAUCAGCAGGGAGAAAUGUUUAGCCGUUUCUUUGUCCGUCGUCAUCUCCAUUGACUUGCCAUUCCUCACCCCUGCUUGUGACUGUGCUGCAGCAGAUCCCCGGGCACACCUUCGAGGCUGAAAGUGACCCUGACUCCUUCCCUAUGUGGCCAGAAGGGGAUGAGAAUCUUACUGGAAAUGGGUGGACUGAUGACCAUAAAAGGAACCCAACAUUAGAUCAAUGAUUGAAUCCAGCGCUGUGUGGACUUAUCAGCUUAAACCACGUGGAUUUAGACCUCCGGCUGCUAAGGCGCACUCACGGCCACGGGAGAGGGGAAGAGGUCGAUACGCUGGGAGGAUGAGAUUCCGGGGACGCAGAAAGCCACCUUUCCCACCCAUCAGACAAGCCAUCUGCAGCAGGAGAGGGGGCUGAUCCACAAAGGAAAGCAGAAUGAGAAAUGGAGCCGGAGAGAGCUGGGUGACAUUACAGGGCCCUGGAUAAGCCAGCACGGGCUGCAAUUAAAAUCUGAAAUUGCAGUGUUUGCGGGAAAGCAGUCACACGGCUGGGCAAGCGGCUGCCUUUCAGAGGCCUGUUGGAAACGUUUGCAUGCGGACGAAAGGAGCACUGUCGCAGACGAUGGCUUCAGGUGGGGUUUGCUCCAGGCGCAGCGGGUGU